UCUACACUGCUGUGUCUGCUCAAAGCUGUUAAAUAUGACAAGGUCACUCACCCUGCUUUAGUAACAAUGAGCACUAACAAAUUUGGGGUUUACAUGCAUUGUCAUUCCUUAAUAGGGUCGUCCCUGUAACAGAAGCAUGGCAUGUGCUUCCUACCAAGCAAACCCCACAGUGAGUCAGAUGUUGGCUUGCACUGUACUCUAUUGGGAUCUGAUUUUAAAAAUGCCAGGACACACAAAUUUCCUGCAUAUUUACACUCUAAACAAGAUUAGAAAAAUGACAAAUAUGGAGAAGAUGGGGAGAGAUAAGUGAUGGAGAGGGGCUAAGAAGCAGGGCUGGAAGUGUGAAUAGAAUGCACUAACUGAUAAGGCAAACUUUCAAAAUAUCUUUCUCCUCCCAUUUUCUUCUGGCUCUGCAGAUGGCUGGGGAGAAUCUGUCUUUUAUAACCCCAUGUACAGAAGUAACAUGUACUUCUGAAGUUUAGUCACCCACUAAUUACUAGUCUUUCAUUAACAGCAAAGAGACACAAGUGAUGAAGCACUUGCUUAUAUCCCCUAUUGUUGAGGCUUAAAAAAAUAAAUCAUUAGCUGCAUGCUUCUUAAGCAUGCUGAAACUGUUUAUGUAAACUCCCCUGCUCUUAUUUUGGCUCACACAGAUGGUUAAGAUACUUUAGCUAAUAUUUCUUAUUUUAAAGAGAGAGCUAAUUGCCUAUAUGUUAGAUGUGCCAAGUAUCGCUCGUGUUAGAGAGAAUGGGAAUUUAAUUGUGCAUGGCUUGUCCUAAGAUGUAGGUUGCUGUUAUAGAUUUGAUGUUUAGCUACUGAUUUGUAAGAACAUCAUCAAGGUUGGGGAAAACCUCUGUUGUGGCCACAGCCACUCAGGACUCUUGGAUCUUCUGUUACUUGAAAACAACCUUGGGUUUCUCCACCGAAAGUGCUCUUCAAGGGAAUAUUUGAAGACUGAGUCAAACGUUAGUAAGCAGUACACUUGUUUGGUUAAGACUUCAGCCUUGACCUCCAUCUUUAAGCCCUUGUUCAUUAUUAAUCACGUGUUUCCUGAAUCAAAGAGAAUAUUUUUGGAGAGGGAAAAUUGUUCUGGGACUGGAGUGUUGUACGCCAAACAGACUUGCCCAGAUGACAAAUAGCCUUUGCAUGAUAGCCAAGGUUCAUCCAGCUGCUCGGCCCCAUACCAAGUGAUUGAUGGUGUUGAUGUUCUAAAUAGGCUUAAGAUAUGCCAAAUAUCGGGGCUGUAACAAAGUCCUUCAGAUAUAUAUUGUAGAUAGGCAAGAAAGCAUGUUCCCAGCAUAUGGCAAUUCUGAGAGUGGUGUCAGGAUUAUAAGUAACCUUACAGGGCUUGUCUGGUUUCUUUCGAAGUUAGACAAAAACAGUUUUCUGUUCCGGAAUGAGCAGGGUCACAUGAGGUCUGCAUGAAGCUUCCAAUUACCACCGAUUUUCUCUGUAACUGGACACCCUUCGGAGUUGUAACAACAUUUGAUUUCUUAGCAGAGAUCAAUAAACUGUUUUUCUAUCAUGAUUCUGAGGAGGAAAGAAGAAUAGGAUGUACUCAGAAGUUGCUGUCAAGGGGUUUUUUUAUGUCUUAAAGGAACGGGAAAUUCACUCCUGAAUAGUUUUAUCUUGGAAACAUGACAGUGCUGGUUCUUUAUACUAACCCACAAAGGACUGUACAUCGAUAUCCCACAAGAUCAAGUAGCUGCACUGCAUAAGCGAUGGUUUCAUUGAUCAUUCCUUUCCCUCAGAGAAACAUCUUUUUUGUGUGUUUUCCCUUUGCUGGAGAGUAAUUGCAGUUCUCUGGAAUGAGUCAGGAAUUCCUGCUGUAUGUGGGAGAUUCUUGGGCACUGUAGGACCUCUGCUCCUCAGCUCCAGCUGAGGGCCUCUUGGACUGGGUGGAGCCAAGAGUAGUAACAUUGUCCUCUGCUAGAAGUCAGCCUGACCCCUUCCUGGCAUCUGCUGGGGCCUUGUACCCCUCCCUGAAGGAUAUUCCCUGGUGCACUCACCAGCUGGGCUGUCAUCCUUUUACCUGCCAGCAAGUCCCUGUAUGUCCAUGGGGGAAUGUGCUCCUGGCCCGCUGAACUCUCCAUGCAAUGCUGUAAUCUCACUUUCUAGGAGAUUAACCCAUCUUGUUUUAGUGCUUGAGUGUGAAUGAUUUUCUAAGAAUGAAACUGAGGACAGCGUAUUUUGUGAAAAGGCCUUGAUGGUGCAGGGUAUUUCCUGGACCAUUGGUAACUGGAAGAUGAGUCAGGUUCAUUCGUUCAAAGCCAGCUUCUCUGCUGAGUCACUCUGGUUUGAGCCAGCAGAUCUCUGCUGGUUACCACCACAUAAAGCAGCCAAGACAGCCUCUGCCAUGCACCAGACCAGUAGAACAAAUUGGCCAUGAAAUAGAAUCAAGUGACUGCAGGGCAAUCAAAUUUAGCCAGACAGUACCAGUAAACUCAGGACUGGCAAUGCUCUGGAACACCAGCUGCAUAACAAAGAAUGGCAUUUCGUAAUAACCGGCUGAGUUUGGGGCCACAACAUGGAGCACUUGGCCCAAGUUCCUUUUCCACCGGGCCUGGUUGUAACCAGCUUUUUCAGAGAAUCAAAAUUAUCUAAUAAUCCCAGAUGAUGCUACCUUUUUAGGAAAUAUUUGUGAAUAGUCCAUGCACAAGCUAUCAGGUGACUUGCUUUUCCUAAAAGGUCUUUACUGUAAAGAAAAUGACCCUGCAUCAACAGCAGUUCAUUGAUCCUCCUGAAACCUCCAUUAGUGGUGAAAAAGCUGAAGACACAAUGGAAACCUGGAUGGAAUCAGUCAAUAAAUCAGCCCCUAUUUAUUUCAA